rnacentral:snoRNA from 1 species
GCUUUGAUGAUAGAUUCCGAAACCAGUUGUAGUUUCCACUAGCGACCUUAUUAUGUUGGCCAAUUCCUUCCCUGGAAGUCUGAAAGU